CCCCCAACCCCGCGAUCCGUGAGUGGACACACCCUGCCCCUCCUCCACCCCCGCCGAGCCCUGUGGGGGCUGAGUCUUGGGGAGACUGUGCCCUGGAAAGAGCUUCCUUAGCCACGGUCCCCCAGUGCCCGAACUGACACCAUCUGUCAACUUCAUUUAGACAGUGCCGCCCUCAGCCACACGCCAGGGUGCCAGACGUCCCAAGGUUUGGUCUGCAUGCAAGUCUGUGUACCACAAGCAUCCCUGAUGCAUGUAGAGGCCAGAAGAGAAUGUUGGAUUCCCUGGAACUUGAUUGCAGACAGCUGUGAGCCAACACGUAGGUGCUGGGAAUAAACCUGUCUUCUCUGCAAGGGGACAGUAGCAC